CCCUUAGAUGUUCUGGGCCGCACACGCGCUACACUGAAGGAGGCAGCGUGUACUCCUGGAUCGAAAGAUUUGGGUAACCCGCGAAUCUCCUUCGUGCUAGGGAUUGAGGUUUGCAAUUAUCCUUCAUGAACGAGGAAUGCCUAGUAAGCGCAAGUCAUCAGCUUGCGUUGAUUACGUCCCUGCCCUUUGUACACACCGCCCGUCGCUCCUACCGAUUGAAUGGUCCGGUGAAGCGUUCGGACCGUGGCCUUUGGACGGUUCGCCGUCUGUUGGCUGCGGGAAGUUCGUUAAACCUUAUCAUUUAGAGGAAGGAGAAGUCGUAACA
rnacentral:rRNA from 1 species